UGCACUGUAUGGUAUCUGCACCCAGCAGUGUUCUUCUGAUGGGGUGUUCAAAAACCAGUGCUACAGUAGCUCAGCAUUUGGCAUCGUUGGUUUUCACUCUGCCGUGGUUGUUAAGCCUGGUAUUCGUGCUGAGACAGUC
rnacentral:snoRNA from 1 species